GAAAUGCGAUAAGUAAUGUGAAUUGCAGAAUUCAGUGAAUCAUCGAAUCUUUGAACGCACCUUGCGCUCCUUGGUAUUCCUUGGAGCAUGCCUGUUUGAGUAUCAUGAAAUCUUCAAAGUAAAUCUUUUGUUAACUCAAUUGGUUUCUACUUUGGUAUUGGAGGUCUUUGCAGCUUCACACCUGCUCCUCUUUGUUCAUUAGCUGGAUCUCAGUGUUAUGCUUGGUUCCACUCGGCGUGAUAAGUUAUCUAUCGCUGAGGACACUGUAAAAGGUGGCCAAGGUAAAUGCAGAUGAACCGCUUCUAAUAGUCCAUUGACUUGGACAAUACUUUUAUGAUCUGAUCUCAAAUCAGGGAGAACUACCCGCUGAACUUAAGC
rnacentral:misc_RNA from 1 species